rnacentral:lncRNA from 1 species
AGGGGGAGGAAGGACAGGGUGUCGUGGCCGAGGAGGAGGACGCCGGCGGCGUCGCGGUCGGAGAUGCAGUAGGAGAAGCGGCGGGUGGCGGUCUGGGAGACGAAGGAGAGGGCGCCCCUGUUCAUGCCGAGCAUGCCGGCGGCGUAGAGGUCACCGGUGGCGGAGGAGUAGGCUGACGUCAUGCAGCCAAAGACGGUGCGCAGGGGAGAUGACUCGCCGACGCGGAGGAGGUCGGAGGCGAGGGUGCCCUCCGAGGAGGAAGCGUCGGCGUAGGUGAGGGCGACGUGGCAGAGGCGAGUGGACUCCUCGCAGGUGGCCGGGAUGGGAAG